UACGAAGGGUGCAAGCGUUACUCGGAAUUCCUGGGCGUAAAGCGCACGUAGGCGGACUAUUAAGUCAGGGGUGAAAUCCUGGAGCUCAACUCCAGAACUGCCUUUGAUACUGAUGGUCUCGAGUCCGGAAGAGGUGAGUGGAAUUCCGAGUGUAGAGGUGAAAUUCGUAGAUAUUCGGAGGAACACCAGUGGCGAAGGCGGCUCACUGGUCCGGUACUGACGCUGAGGUGCGAAAGCUAGGGGAGCAAACAGG
rnacentral:rRNA from 1 species